GGUAUAUGUACAACUGUUCUUCUAUUGUAGACCAUUGGCUGAGUAUUUGUGUUGAUAUAACAAGAAAUUUUGUUCCAACUAUAAUUUUUAUACAUAAAGUAGUGGUUUGCUCUAUGUCAGGAAGUGAGCUGCUUAUGUACUUAGAUUUUUUUUUUUAACUUCUUUUAGUUUUUUUCCUUUUAUAGAUUUAGAGCCCAUUUAUCUGCUUGAACAGUUGGAUACAAAUAGUUUUAUUACUGAGUGCUUUAAAAUGGACGUUUCUCUCUGGUACCUCAAAGAAAGACCUUAAGAUUGCCAAACUUUCCUGGCUUCACCCACUAAAAUAGGACAUGUGCUACGGAUUCCUUGGAAUUUUCUGCAUAGACAACCACAUCAUCUAUGAACAGAGACAGUUUUGUUUCUUCCUUUCCAACUCAUUCAACCAGGCGAGGAUUCCAGUGAAACUUCUAGAGUGAGACAUUCACACUUCCCUCAUCACUGCAGCAAGAGGAUGGGCAAGACCUGGAGUGAGACCUGGGUGUGAGGCUGUUUUCCUGCUACCUGCAGAAGAGACCUCAGGAUUAGUUUAAUUGUGCACUUCCAUCUCUGACCCUUGGAUGCCUGGUCCUGAAAAAUGAAAGAGACAAGCUAAAUGACUUAAAGGCAAAUGGAAUAUGAAUCAGAGGCAUCUUCUUUCUCUUCAGAAUUUGGAAGGUUUCACUUGGCAACUUCAGGUGGAGAAGAAAGCUUGUUACUGACAAACAUAGAAAUCUUGGAAGCGGCAUCUUAAAGAUGACAGAGCCAUAAGGUAACAGGAUCCUGGGCCCUAUAUCACCACUUGGAAGAAAGCAGCACACAAAUCACUAACGCACAUUUGGAUUUUCCUGAAAGAGAAGUGAGAACACAGCAAGAAAGCACCAGCCAAGAAUGAGGAAGUGGGCCCUCACUACAACACCAUUGUGCCAGCACCCUGAUCUUGGACCUCCCAGCCUCCAGAACUGUGAGAAAUGAAUUUCUGUUGUUUAUAAACCACU